CUAUGCGCCUUGCCACGCCCGCUCGAGAAACUUAAAGGAAUUGACGGGCCCGCACAAGCAGCGGAGCGUGUGGUUUAAUUCGAUGCUACACGAAGAACCUUACCAGGGUUUGACAUACAAGUAGUAGGGAAAGGAAACUGGACCGACCCUUCGGGGAGCUUGAACAGGUGCUGCAUGGCUGUCGUCAGCUCGUGUCGUGAGAUGUUCGGUUAAGUCCGCUAACGAGCGCAACCCUCGCUGUGUGUUACAAGUGUCACACGGAACUGCCGGUCAUAAACCGGAGGAAGGUGGGGAUGACGUCAAGUCAGCAUGGCCUUUAUAUCCUGGGCUACACACACGCUACAAUGGGAAGGGACAAUAGGUUGCGAAACCGCGAGGUGGAGCCAAUCCAGACAAAACUUCCCUCAGUUCAGAUUGCAGGCUGCAACUCGCCUGCAUGAAGUUGGAGUUGCUAGUAAACGCAGGUCAGCCAUACUGCGUUGAAUACGUUCCCGGGGCUU
rnacentral:rRNA from 1 species